AAUAGGACUAGAAAAGAAUUGAGCCUUUUUAAAUACCUUUAUAAUCAUCUUAUUCAUCUCUGGAAGCACAUUUGCUUAGUGUGAGCUUUGUGGUGCUCUCUUCCUCUAUUUCAUCUUCCACUCUUCUUAUUCUUCUUGUUUCUUUUGGCUUUUUUAUGCACUUCUCUUUUAUCCUUGCUGAAUUUCUUGAUAAUUCAGAACAGGAUUGACCUUAACUGAUUUCCAAGCCCAACACCCUGCCUGAUUGCCCUCUGAAAAUGCCAUCAGCUUAUAUUAUGAUUUCUGCAU
rnacentral:misc_RNA from 1 species